rnacentral:tRNA from 1 species
GCCGAAAUAGCUCAGUUGGGACAGCGUUAGGCUGUAGAUCUAAAGGUCCAUGGUUCAAUUCCUGGUUUCGGCA